rnacentral:rRNA from 1 species
AUGAAACCAAAUCGAGCUCCUGGAUCGGAUAAUAUACCGGUGGAGUUCUACCAGCACUGCUGGGAAGUUGUGACACCAAAACUAUUCAGCCUCUUUGAACGGUUCUAUGAGGGAAAAUUAGAUGUUCAACGACUAAACUAUGGUAUUAUUACGUUGCUGCCUAAAUCAGCAGAUACAAACAAAAUUCAGCAGUAUAGGCCUAUUUGCUUGCUGCGGUGCCUGUAUAAAUUGAUCACGAAAUACAUGGAUCUUAGGGCCUCGAAGUUUGCUAACAAGCUGUUUAGCAUUCAGCAGAAUGCUUUUAUUAAAGGGCGACAUAUAGUGGAUGGUAUCUUAUCCUUACAUGAGGUGCUGCACUAUACUCAUAUCAAAAAGGAGGUGGGUGUGAUCUUUAAGAUCGACUUUGAGAAAGCCUAUGACAAAGUGAACUGGGACUUCUUAUUGGAUUGUCAUGCUAAACGCGGGUUUAACUCAAAAUGGUGUGGGUGGGUGUCGCAAAUCCUUAGGAAUGGCACGGUGAGUGUUAAGAUUAAUGACGAGACUGGGCCCUAUAUCCAGAGUGCUAAAGGGGUGCGACAAGGGGACCCACACUCUCCAUUCAUGUUCAACCUUGCA